AGUUAUUUAGCUUAUAUUAAAGUUUAUAUUUUGAAAAUAUAAGAAAGAGGAAUUUAAUAACUU
rnacentral:tRNA from 1 species